GGCUCGAUGGCCGAGCGGUCUAAGGCGCUAGACUCAAGAUAUCUCAAUAUCUUCCUAUCAGCAUGGCAGGUGCAUUCUAGUCUCGAAAGAGGCGCGCGUUCGAAUCGCGCUCGAGUCA
rfam:Podospora anserina genomic DNA, chromosome 2.